AUCCAGCUGAGUAGUCCUGAAUAGGACGAAACGUGCAUCCUGGAU
rfam:Schistosoma rodhaini strain Burundi genome assembly, scaffold: SROB_scaffold0001619